rnacentral:misc_RNA from 1 species
AGUUCAGUCUUCCCAGGCCCACCACUUUCAUCGAGUGAGCAUUCGUCUUCUGGUUACGGGGCCAUAGCUCAGCUGGGAGAGCGCGUGCUUUGCAAGCAUGAGGUCGUCGGUUCGAUCCCGUCUGGCUCCACCAGAUGGUUUGAUCACCGAGAUCAUGUACCGUCGUCCGCGAAACAUCACUUCGCAUUCACUAGUCUGGAUAGACAGUGAACUGCGUGUUUUCUGACAUCGUAAAGAGGAGAUCGAUCCGAGUUGGGUCGUGCAGCAUAUCGUUGCGCGGGCCUUCAUUAUCUCCGGAUCAUUUCGGCGCUCGCUUUCAGCCGUGAGGUUGAAUGCGGGUUGUAAAUGAUCCUUUUAGCGAAGCUUGACCGCCUCGCUAUCGGAACGAUCUUACGAAGCAAGCUGGUCUUUCUAGUCAAUGUCCGGCUGUACGUAGCAUUCAUCGAGGGUGCGUGCCGCAAGGCAAUCGUACGGACAACAUUCUGCCGAGUGUGUGGACAUUGAUAAUGAGAGCAAUCAAGUGCCUUAAGGGUGUUCGGUGGAUGCCUUGGCGCUGAGAGGCGAUGAAGGACGUGCUACGCUGCGAUAAGCCGUGGGGAGCUGCGAAGAAGCUUUGAUCCGCGGAUUUCCGAUGG